GUAGGGGCCUAGCGUUGUCCGGAAUUAUUGGGCGUAAAGAGCUCGUAGGCGGUUCGGCAAGUCGGAUGUAAAAUCUCCACGCUUAACGUGGAGGGGCCAUUCGAAACUGCUGUGACUCGAGUCCGGUAGGGGAGUGUGGAGUUCCCGGUGUAGCGGUGAAAUGCGCAGAUAUCGGGAGGAACACCAGUAGCGAAGGCGGCACUCUGGGCCGGUACUGACGCUGAGGCGCGAAAGCGUGGGGAGCGAACAGGAUUAGAUACCCUGGUAGUCCACGCCGUAAACGUUGGGCACUAGGUGUGGGACUCUAUCGACGGGUUCCGUGCCGUAGCUAACGCAUUAAGUGCCCCGCCUGGGGAGUACGGCCGCAAGGCUA
rnacentral:rRNA from 1 species